rnacentral:rRNA from 1 species
CGACCGGCGCACGGUGAGUAACACGUAUGCAAUCCACCUGGUAACAGGGGGAUAACCCGGAGAAAUCCGGACUAAUACCCCAUAAUAUGGGCUCUCCGCAUGGAGGGUCCAUUAAAGAGAGCAAUUUUGGUUACAGACGAGCAUGCGCUCCAUUAGCCAGUUGGCGGGGUAACGGCCCACCAAAGCGACGAUGGAUAGGGGUUCUGAGAGGAAGGUCCCCCACAUUGGAACUGAGACACGGUCCAA